rnacentral:rRNA from 1 species
UACGGGGGGGGGCAAGCGUUGUUCGGAAUUACUGGGCGUAAAGGGCUCGUAGGCGGCCAACUAAGUCAGACGUGAAAUCCCUCGGCUUAACCGGGGAACUGCGUCUGAUACUGGAUGGCUUGAAUCCGGGAGAGGGAGUGCGGAAUUCCAGGUGUAGCGGUGAAAUGCGUAGAUAUCUGGAGGAACACCGGUGGCGAAGGCGGCAUCCUGGACCGGCAUUGACGCUGAGGAGCGAAAGCCAGGGGAGCAAACGGG